rnacentral:lncRNA from 1 species
UGUUAGUCUCCCUAUGUGUGUGCAGUUGCGAUACAGUGGAAACAAGUCUCCAAACCGGUCCUUAAGAAGUUUAUAAUCUGACAGAAAUCUGUGGGCGAAAGAUGAGGACAGAACAUUAAAACGUGAUUCCAUGAAAACUAUUCCUGAAGUUGAAAGUUCAAGACUUCAGUGGAGGAAUAACUGCAGAGGUGGUAGAAAUGGCAAAGAUUCUGGAAUUAGAAGUGGAGCCUGAAGAUGUCACUGAAAUUCCUGUAAUCAUGAUAAAACUUAAAACUUUAGUGGAUGAGUAAUUCCUUUUUAUAGAUGUGUAAAGAAAGUGGUUUCCAAAUUUGAAAGAACUUCACUGUGGAUAAAAUAUUAUUAAACAGCAUUACAUGCUACAGAGAUAUUUUUCAUGAAGGAAGAGUCAAUUGACACAGCAAACUUCAAGGUUGUCUUAUUUUAAGAAACUGCCACGGUCACCCCAACCUUCAGCAACCACCACUUUGAUUAGUCAGCAACCAUUGACACUGAGAUAAGACCCUGCACCAGAAAGAAGACGAUUCACUAAAAGCUCAGAUGAUGGUUAGCAUUUUUAGCAAUAAAGUGUUUUUAAAUUAAGAUAUGGACAUUUUUGAGACAUAAUAUUAUUGAACACAUAAUAGACACAGUAUAGUGUAAACAUAACUUUCAUAUGCACUGGGAAACCAAAAAGUCACUUGACUCAUUUUAUUGUAAGAUUCACUUUUUUGUGUUAUCUGGAACUGAAGCCACAAUAUGAGAUAUGCCUAUAAAAUAAAAACAAAACCUACAAAAUAAUAAAAAAAU